UGAGAAAGAACACAGCGAAGUUAUCAAUUUGCUUCGACUGCCGGCUGCAAGAGUAUUAUUAUUUUAGUCGUGAUAAUGGAGCCUCGUGCAGAUACUAACCUUGAUACAGACAUCUGGAGUCUGAAUGAUCAAGAUAGCAAUGCAAUUAUAUUGCCAGACAAGAAAAAGAAGAAGAAGACAGAAAAGGAACAGGUAUCGAAAAAGCUUAAAACGAAGAAUAACAUUAAGUUAAGUCAAUCUCAAAAAAAAAAGCUGAAGAAACUCGAGGUAAAUAAGGAGAAAUCAA